GCAAGAUAUAACAUGUAGAAAAAAAAGUAACUAGAUUUCAGAUUCAGAAUCAAUUUGUUAACUUUGUGUUGCACAAUGUUAUAUCUAACUCACCUUAUCAAAUUUGGUUAUAUGGGAUGAGGAGCUUAAAUUUUAGUAAAUUUGCAAACUUCUUUCUUCUGUUUUUUACAAUAUUGAGUUAAUCUUCCAUAGUGAAGUAUUCAAGAAAUGCAUGCCCAAUUUUGUUGCACAUGGUUUUGGGGUUCAAUGUAUUUGGCAUUCAG
rnacentral:misc_RNA from 1 species